CGCGCUCAGCCCGCCGGGCGCCGCAUCCGCUCGCAGACCCUCAGCAUCCUGUUGCUGCAGCAGGCGCCCAACAUCAGCCGGGUCAUGAUCCGCCAGCUCAUCCCCGAGGCGCCGCCUCUGAUGCAGCUGCUGGACCGGUACGACCCGCGGGUGGAGGACGAGGAGCAGGCCAUGACCAAGACCAUCAUCACCAUGGCAACGAAGAGGGCUGAUGGGAGCUUUGGUUCCUCUGCUAGAAACCACGUGGCCCUGGUCUGAUCUCUCAGCUCGUCCUUGUUUGGCCUCAGCUGCAUCAGAGCGCCACUUCUCCCCAGGUUCACCAGAGGAAACUCCACUGCACACAAUGCUUUUCCUCCCAGCUGCUGCUCUGUGCUGGCUGGGUUCAGCGCUGGCUGCCAUGGCAACACAGCUGGUUCAGGACCAUUUAACUCUGACCAGGAGAACCGGGCAGAGCGUCUCCUUCAGCUGUGGAGGAACUGGACAGUGUUAUUAUAAUGA